UCUUGCCCUCAUGUUUAGUUUUGCUGGUGCUUAGUCUUCUCUGCCCGUAUGUCCCUCUGUCUGUCCAUGGUGUCUUGUCUGGUCCUGUGUCUGUUAGUUUUCUGUUUUAUUCUGAAGGUCCUUGUCUUACGUAUGUUCAGUUUACGUUUCCCCUGCCUCGUCAGUUGUGAUUUUCCCCAGGUGAGUUUCCCUCCUGUCUCUCAUCCCUUGAUUACUGCCUCAGUGUAUUUAAGCCCUGUGUUUUCCUGUGCUCACUGUCGCGUCGUUAACGUCUUCUGCCCUCACUCCCUGUGUGUUCUGUUUGCCGUCAUGCCAGUCUAGUUGUUUUUCAGUAUAGUUAGUUUUCUGUUCGGUAACUCCUGCAAUAAAGCUGUUUGUUUGGAAUUCACUUUCGCUUCCGUGAGUCCUGCAUCUUGGGUCCUUCCUCUCUGUCUGCCUGCACACAGCCGAGACAUGACAGGCACGCUAUGGAGAAACUGGACGAAAUAACAAUUGCCACCCUGAAAGAAGCAAAUGUUGGAGAAGACCUGCUCUCAUCACUUUCACGAGAGGACAUCAAAGAUCUGUUUCCUGGUCCUGAACAUUUCCUCAGGCGUCGGGCUCUAUGGCUUGUAGUGCACAAAUGUGAAGAAAACAAGACUGCUGCUGAAAAAACGCUAACAACUACUGGAGAUGGUGACUUCUCCAGAGAGGAACCCAACCCUUCUAAGUUUGUGACUAUGUCCAACCCAGAGUACAUAGUCUUCACAGACAGUGAACUUGAGCAAGCUCGACGUUCCUACUUUGAAAAGAAGCGGCUGGGGACAGAGUGUGCUGAACCUUUGUCAAAGGAACUCUUUUGUCGACUCGUAAGAAACACCAUGACAAACAUGAUUUCGAUAGCAAGAGCAGCUGAGGACUCCAGAUACCCCAGCAAACAUGAGGUUGAUGCCAUGGCAAAGCGAUUAAUGGAGUACUACCCAAUGCUUAAAGAAAUGUGUGGUGAGUGGGAGCAUGUUGCUAAAAAGCUAAUGAAGAGACUCUCCAAUGUCAAAAGUCCAAGGAAGGGCAAAAAACCUCCUGCGAAGAAGCCAAGAAAGGAUGGGAAUGAAAGCGUUGCAAAAAGUGACAGCAGUGGGGAGUCCAGUGCAUCAACUAUUAUUCUAGAUCAAUCACCAUUUAGAUCGAUGGGCACCCCAGUGCACUACCAGGAUGGCAGUGAUGAAGAAUGUAAGUGUUACGGCUGUGGCCAUAAGAUCUCUGUGUGGGCUGUUUUGUUCUGUCUCUUUACUGUGCUUAAGACUCUUUGCAGGUCCCUCCCCUAAUGAAGAGUAGUGAGCAGCUGAUUGGACCGUGGAACACGUGACCGCGUUCAAAAAGCCGUUCUGACAGCUCCCGCCGGGAAGAGAGAGAGAGAGAGAGAGAGAGAAGCGAGCGAGCAAGCAGUUUGACAGCCGACGCGGUCCUGGCCCUGGUUUCCAGCCUAUACUUUUGCUGUGUGUUUGUGUGAGCGUGUUCUGUGAGAGCCGCUCCCCGUGUGUUAACUUAGUGCUUAGGCACCCAUAGGCUGAAGCGGAAGGGGUGAGCCGCCUUUUUCUUUGGGAACCGUUUUCUCCUGUUUUCCGGGUUAGGGAGCAAGGGUUAGUAUUGUCUUUUGUUUGUUUUGUUUCUUUCCUAGGGUUUAGUUAGUUUUCUCUGGUGGGACUUAGUUGGUUUUGUUUAUUAUUUUGGCCUGGGUUCACCCUGGAGCUAUGCUUCAUUACCUUCAAUAAAUCACCUUUUCUUUACUCACAACUGGUUUUGGAUGUUUGGCUUGGGAAUCAGGGCGGGUACGUGUCUCUCUCUCCUCCAACCUUAUGUGCGUCUCUACACGCCUAGACUAGGGGCGUAACACUGGUUCAGCUGACUUCUUUGACAGCCACAAAACCCAGGCAAGACACUACAAGACACUUCAAGAAAUAUACAAGACCAAAAAACAGAACAAAGCUGCUGUUACCCAACUGCUGAACCUGGAGUUUGAGUCUAGAAGACAAUUCAUUAACUCUGAUGCUAUAAAGGAGCAGGACAGAGCGGUGAAGAUACUAGAGGCAUAUCCUUGUUUCAGAGAACUGGAUCAUGUAAGCAGCACUUAUUUCUUUUAGCCAUCCUAUUAUUCCUUUGGGGACAUUUUGAUAUGAUUUUCAAAUUUCUUAAAUACUGGCCCUCAUGUUUAAAUUGUUAUCACUUAUUGUCAAGACCAGAUACAGAGCUAGACAGAUCUGUCUCAGUUGGGUUUCUGUCUGUAUUUUUCAGGUCCUUGAUGAGCUGCGGAGAAUUAUUCAACCAUCCAACUUGAAAUACAUAUCGGAGAUGAAGGAUAGAUAGGAAAUCUUCUACUCGAAGGUGCAGUUUUAUGGUGUCAUGAAGAAAGUUAUGAAGCCGCCAAAAACUUUGGAUGGAGUGGAACAUGCAGCAGCCCUUCCCAUGCUUUUCCCUUCCAGCACAGUACCACCUAAGAAGCUGGGCAUCUGUAGUGAGGCUUUUUUCCAUGUCCUAAAGGGAAGGCUGCCAUAGUCUAUGUGUAUAUAUUGUUGAAUUUUGCAGUUACUCAUGUAUUCAUUUUAUAUAUUUUACUGUGGAGGCAGUCAAAUAUUCUUAAAGUUCAGAUCCCCAUAACAUGUUGAUGUUAAUAAAACCUACAAAAAAAGUUGAUCUAUUUUAAACUGUAAUGCAACUCAAAAAUUGUUUCUUACGGUAUUGUUCUAAUCCUCUUUUUUCUGUCAUGUAGACUUCAGAAGACCCUGAAGGCUACCUGCGUCAGCGACCCCUGGCUUGUCCAGUUCUGCUUGUCUCUGAAGGCAACUGCAUGAUAGCUGUUGGAACCACACCGGUGAGCACUUUUGACCGGAAGGAUCUUAAUGAGGGACUGCUCUAUCUGAUGGCAUAUUACUAUGCCCUCCACCUCACAUAUCCAAAGUGCAUUUCCAUGCUGCUGUCUGUCUUGCAAACUGAAAUACUCAAAGACUCCAUCCAUGACCGAGAUUCAACCCCCUCUUACAGGAAGGCUCUUGGUGAGUGGAAGUCAUUCAUUGAGUGAGUCCCUCAGAUGACAGACUCCAUCUGCCUUAUCAGACUCAGUGUUAGUCAGUGAGGUUGUUUUUUUUGUUUUUGUUUUUUUUUUCUCUAGAAAAGUUGUUCAAAUGUAAAACACAUGUUUGUUUGUGUGGUCGUUAAACUUGUUCUUCUAAAAUGUUAUGUAAUAUAGGAUUUGAAAUAGUGAUUGUUUUAAGCUUCAGCAAAAUUUAUUUUUGAUACCAGCCAUGUUAUACUGUUAUUAUUCAUGUUAAGAGUAUCUGGAAUAUGCACUUCUUAUAUUGGCCAUGUUACACAGUACCCUGCUGAAAUGUAGGUCAUUUUAGACAUGAUUCUCCUGGAACAGACCUCAGUGAGUUACUGACCCAUUGCUGUGUCAAUAAAAGCGCAAAAACGCGCUUUUUCUGUCUUAAUUUAAGAUGAAUUCCCUUAUUUUUAGUAGCUUUUUG
ensembl:lncRNA